GACAGAGGGUGCAAACGUUGCUCGGAAUUACUGGGCGUAAAGCGCGUGUAGGCGGUUCCGCAAGUCAGGUGUGAAAGCCCAGGGCUCAACCCUGGAAGUGCACUUGAUACUACGGAGCUUGAGUACUGAAGAGGAGAGCGGAAUUCCCGGUGUAGAGGUGAAAUUCGUAGAUAUCGGGAGGAACACCAGUGGCGAAGGCGGCUCUCUGGGCAGAUACUGACGCUGAGACGCGAAAGCAUGGGAG
rnacentral:rRNA from 1 species